rnacentral:piRNA from 1 species
UGGAUACCAAGCUACCUGGAGGACUGCAGG